rnacentral:lncRNA from 1 species
UUCCCUUUCUACCUCUCUUGGACAUGUUUCUUGAGGAAAAAUGUGAAGAAAAAUGAAAAGAAUUGAAAAAGAAAGAAAGGCUACCCUACGGCUGAAAGAGGAUAAAUGAGAGAGGACCGAUACCUAAGAGAGAAAAGUGAAAUCCUCCCAAGAGAUGAAAAGUGAACUCCUUUCCUCCCACUCCAAUGAAGCUUCUCGCUAUUUUGAUGGCCAUUCAACAUAGAGAAGUCUCUAAAAAUAAUCUAACAGUACUUCCACACGGUAACAGCAGAAAUAAACAGUGACUGGGGGGCAAA